rnacentral:lncRNA from 1 species
UACUGAACUUCUAGAAAGAAACUGCCAGUUCACAUCCUGGGUUUCCAACGGUAGACCCCACUGCUUUUGGAUGACAGGUUUCUUUAACCCCCAGGGAUUCUUAACUGCAAUGCGACAGGAAAUAACUCGAGCCAACAAAGGAUGGGCUUUGGACAAUAUGGUUCUUUGCAAUGAAGUCACCAAAUUUAUGAAGGACGACAUUUCUGCUCCUCCUACAGAAGGGGUCUAUGUCUAUGGCUUAUAUCUUGAGGGUGCUGGCUGGGACAAAAGGAACAUGAAACUCAUUGAAUCCAAACCCAAAGUGCUUUUUGAGUUGAUGCCUGUCAUAAGGAUUUUUGCAGAAAACAAUAGAUUUUAAGAUGGGAAGAAUGACAUUUAUGGAGCAAAAUGGAAGGACAUCCUUUAGAACCGGGAAGUUGGUUAUUUUGGGUAUUGGCAGAAACACACAUGGUAAAUGUGAAUGAAUGCAUGAAACAGCUGCAAGAGAUCCUCGGUUGUACUGCUGUCCCAUCUACAAGAAGCCAGUUCGAACAGACUUGAACUACAUCGCUGCUGUGGACCUCAAGACAGCCCAGGCCCCUGAACACUGGAUUCUCCGUGGGGUUGCCCUUCUCUGUGAUGUCAAGUAACAGAAACACACGAUCCAAAGUAUUUUAAUCUUAAUUUCUCUGUCAGUGCUGGACAUGCAUAAAUUAGACUGUGUUGUGUGCAAUGAAUGAGGUGACACAGCCCCAUACACUUCCUUGGAUGCUUAGCUGCAUUUUACAUGUUUUGUUAUUAGCGAUUGAAUCCUGCAUUUGUUUGAAAGAUACUUAAUGAUUUCAAAACAUAAUGAACAACCUUCUAAUGAAUUGUGGGCAUCAAACCUCUAAUCAUGUAUUUUCUUUUUCUUUCUAUCUGAAGUCUAUGUUAAACAGAUGCUAUUGCCUCAAGGGUAUUGUUUGUCUGUUAAUGUGGUUCUGGUAGCAGCCAGGUUUUGUAAAGUAACAUGGUAGACCUGUGUGAAUUUUGUUUCUCUUACCUUUUCUUUCUGGCCAGGUCAGGACACUUAUAUUCAAGGCUUCAAGGAGCUAAUCAAUUUUACAAAAUAACAGGAAAUGGAAGAUGGAUUAAGAUUGUAAAGAGGCAACUCAGGUGAACUUGUAGUGUAAACAUGCAGAGCAACAUUCAGUGUUGCUUAUAAUUAGUAAAGAAGAUGAAGAUUGAUGUCUAACAAAAAGUGUGGGGUCUGUACCACUGAUGUACUCACAUGUUGUUAGAACAAUAUAAAUUAAUCCAAUCUAUCUGUAAAAGAAUUUAAACAGAAAGAAACAUAAAAAA